UCCACAGCCAACAUCUUCCAACAUUGGUUCUGAAAUCUUCAACCUUAAGGUUUGGGGAAAAGGUGAAAACCCUGAGAGCAAGUUGACAGUUUAGGGAGCUGGGAAGGAUAUGAGAAGCAACAAAGACCACUUUGCCAGAUGCAAGAAAGUGUGUCCAACACAGUGAAGUGAGCUUUCUGAAUGCUGAAAUAAAAUUGGGCAGUGCAAGAGUUGCAGUGAAUCUGGCCAAAAACAUUAGCUAGUCCUCAAGUUUCUGGUUCAUGACUCAUGACUGUCUCUACUUUAUCCAUAAGCCUCAUAUCCCAGUUCAGCAUGAAUAUGAGAACUUAAACAAAAAACACCCUAAAUAAAACAAGUUGUGCUUUUGUGAUGUUCUGCUACAUGACAUCUAACACAAACAUAUCUGUCCAGUUUUGUCUACUUCAAUCUAGUUGCAGGAAAGGACAAGGAGAAAAGAUAACAUGUGUUUUCAGAAGCUGUCAAGGCAGUGCAGAAACCUAAAACUCCAGACAAGAGUGUAUUUAUAAACUACAGAGAACAAGUGACUCACUGAAGAACAACAAAAACUCUUAAGAUUUUUUCUAUUAAGAAGAGUUGCAUUUGAUAAAGAUGGGAAAUAAAACAAUUUGAACUUUAUCAACUACCUCCUUGGAAUCUCUAAGCAUUUUCUAGUUUCUACUGAUAUGAAGUUACAAAGACAUAAGCUAACUUUCAAAUCUAAGUUGCAUAUCCCUCUGUCAAGUGAGAGAGAAAUUUCUCUUGCCUUCAAGAAGCAUCAUUGUAAUGGGGCUUAUAAGGAAUAUGAGUCACCCAAAUAAGACCUUUCCAAGAAAAUAACACAGAAUUAUUUAAAGCAGCAAUGUUUUUGUGGUGCCACUGUGAUGUCAAUUUAUUGCUUUUAGCCCAUUUCUAAAAUACAGGACCAUCACAAUUGGGAGGGAAAAUAGGAACAAUUUCUGUAAACUUGUUUCUAGGCAAUCAUCCAUAUGGUAUCUCUAUAGGAUGAUUACAAUUCUUGUAUAAGCAGCAGGGACAAUCAAUUUCCUGUUCACAAACUAGAUAGAAUUAUUGGAUCUUGCUUUCUUCUGCUGUCUAAGUUGAAUAAAGGCACUGGACACUGUCAGAGCACCCUCCCUCCAGGUUUGCAGCCAACACAGUUCUUCCCACAUCAACUGCGGCUCUAAAGUCAGAAGAUUUACUUCAAAUUCAGCACUUCAUGGGUGUUCUGGGGGCAAGGCACCAUCGUGCUUCAAGGAACCCUGAUGAUAUCUCAACCUCCUCUACUCAGGGAAAAACUUUUUUUGAAGGCCCAGAAGUAUGGGUGCAAUCCUUACCUCUUCUGCCCUCCAUAGGAUGUCCAUAAUCCUCUGAGUUUGGAGGGUUACAGGCAGCCACACUGAACCAUUAUUUUCUCUCUCUUUAGUUUUAUAUUUUUAUAUUAUCCCAUCUCCUUUUCUAUUUACUUUAAACUAGAUGUACGCAGCACUAUUCUGACUACUGUUCUAUAAUCUGAUAUGUUGUAUCAGGGUGCAACAUUUUAAAGACAUUUUCAACUAUAUUAUGUUAUUUUUGAUCUAACAAUUUGCUGCUACUCCAGCAGUUUCCCAACCAGAAUAUUUAUCACUCUUCUAUCCUAGUGCUUGGUUGCUCCUUUAUAUAACCAAAAAUAUGAUUUACACAAAAAGUAGUUCUAGAAACACUUCACAAGUUCCAGGGUGAAAUACAGCAAAACUAACAUGAAUAUAUAUACACUAGGUUUCUAAAAAAUGCAACUUAUUUCCUAUAUCCCUAUAAUUUGGUUCACUAAAUGAGAUAAACAUUUAUAGUUCCUACUGUCAGAUCAACAAAUACUGACAGAGAAUCAGGCUAAAACCUUCAAACAUAAACCCAGAGGAAUUCUGCUUCCGUAUAUAACUUGAAAAACACAUUGUUUUUAAAUAUAUCUAUUCUGAAAUACAAUUGAAUUAAUUUAUUUUAUGUCAACAUAAGACAUAUAGCAAGAUAACCAAAAGGAUCUGUCUUCCAUUAUGUUAAAUGUUAUUAAUUUACGCACAACCCACAACAGAAACAACGUUUAUACAUUGUCGAAGCAAACAUCCACCCGAUGUCAACAGCAGGAUGCUAUGGAACAGCAGGCUCUUAGCAGUUUCAAGCCAUUCAGGUCCAAACCAUAUGAUUAACAGGUCAGCUUUUUAGAUUACUGGUCACAUGUAACACCUAGUCUUAUCUGUCUGUCUGAAGACAGCCAAUUCUUCUAUUUGCUCACCCCACUUUCAAUUAAUACUCUAUACAAUAAUAAUAUUGUUCAUGGCUGUGCAAGGCAAGCAAGCCUUUGCAAACAGAUGUCUACGUGUGGAUCAUCUGGAGUAGGGAUGGCCAAACCAAGGCUCAAGAGCCACAUGCAGCUCUGAGUUUAUUUUGGGGCUUGCCACUUACCACUGAGGGCACCCAAUUGCCACUCACCACCUGCUGUUGCUGCCUGUGGGUGCCCACUUGCCACUGCUGCCAGCCAAUGCCCCACUCUCAGCUGUCAAAUAUCUGACAUUUAUGGUUUGUGACUCUUCCAUUGAGCAAGUCUGCCCCCACCUCAAUCUAGAUCCUGAGAAUCUGGAGAAGCCUCCAAGCACUGAGGUCUAUAUGCAGAGGCUUCCUCACACUGCUGGAUUGGGAAUGCUGAGAUAUGAUUGUACCCAUAAGAAAUAUUUUUAAAUAUGGUCAGUGGUAUAUAAGUCUAUUAAAUAAUUCUCCCCUGCAGCUGAGCCACAUGCAUUUACACUAGGGUAAAUAAAAGGAAUUCUCAGCUACAUGUUAUAUAAUUAGCAGAAUUAUAUGUAGUUUUGUUCUAAGCUGAAAUUCUUUGAAGAGUGUACCUUUUCACAGAAAUUAUUUAACUCUGGAAAAAUGUAUAACAAUAAAACCUAUUCCCAUUCCAUCCCAUGUCAUUCCCCACUUUAAGUGGAACUAACCUCACAUGAUAGAUACUACUGUACUGUUUUAUUGCCCUUAAAAUAAUUAAUAGCAAACAUAUGAAGUCAAAACUGUUGAAUUAUUGCAAAAUAGCAUUGAAAUCAAAACAACAGCACAUUUCAGGAAAAAAGUUUGUUUAUAAUGUAGUUCCUAAAAGAGCUGAUUUAGGAACAAAAAAAGCAGAAGUUGGGUGUAGUCCUCUCCCUGUCAUUUUAAGCAAUACAUAAAACAACAUUUUCAAGAUCAAUCAAGAUUGGCUUUACCCAAACAUGUAGUUUGAAAGGUUUUUUUUUUUCUAUGCAUUGAUUCUAUUUUCACUUACAAUUACAGCUAUCUCUGUUCCUAAAGAAAACUCCAGUUGAACAAACACUGAGAACCAUAUUGGCAAGAAAUAUGGCUUAGGAGCACUUAAUUUAAGAAAUAUAUGCCUGACAAAUUAGUCCACAAAAGUAUUAAGAGGCUGUUUAGUCAAGAACAUAG